AAAUAAGUAAGCUAAAAAAAGCUACUAGGUUCAUACCCUAUUUAUAAAGGUUCGCCCCUUUCUUAUUUA
rnacentral:tRNA from 1 species